rnacentral:rRNA from 1 species
UACGUAGGGUGCGAGCGUUGUCCGGAAUUAUUGGGCGUAAAGAGCUCGUAGGCGGUUUGUCGCGUCGACUGUGAAAACUGGGGGCUUAACUCUCAGCUUGCAGUUGAUACGGGCAGACUUGAGUUCGGUAGGGGAGACUGGAAUUCCUGGUGUAGCGGUGAAAUGCGUAGAUAUCUGGAGGAAUACCGGUGGCGAAGGCGGCAUCCUGGACCGAUAUUGACGCUGAGGAGCGAAAGCUAGGGGAGCAAACGGG